CGCACGUAUCCGGGCCCCGCCCCCUGGCCGGCCUACUUACAGCAUUGGCCGGCCCGCUUGUCAUUCCCACCGUGGCUACCAUUCAUGCAGUUUGGUUGCGUCUUGGUGUAUUUGAGUGUUUGCAAUAAAAAGGGCUUUUAAUUUUUGGAGGUGCAGGUCCAGCUGCAAUUAGUUCACUGAAAAGUCUACCGCCUUGCAAGCAGCCAACCGCGGCUAGCUUUAGCUCUUUAUUUCUCCCUUGCAAUUGCAAGCCACUAAUUCAGAGGUGCAACUAUGCCCAAAAGAAAGGUAAUCUGGCGGGAAGUUUUUAAAUUGCCCGACGUCUGGCUUGGUGACGCACUGACGUUGGAACCGAGGGGCUUUUUUCCCGCGGCUUUGUGGGACUUGUAGUCCUUUGGCGCAGGACCUGGAGGUGAAGGUAGGGCUGGGGGAGCGGGCCCCCUCAGGUUCAGUCGCAGAUGCACUUUGAGAGAGGGAGAAGAAAGGGGCUUCCUGCAGAAUAAGCGCAUUACGCUGCCCUUUCCUUCUCUUCUCCCCCCCCCCCCCCCGCCCCGCCCGUUUUUUGGCUCGGACAUUGCCGAACUUGAGGUAAGUGCAUGAGGACAAGUGUGUCCUAAGAAAGGUUUAAAGAAAUGGCUUAUUUUAACUGGGGUGCAAA
rnacentral:lncRNA from 1 species